rnacentral:rRNA from 1 species
AAAGUUAAACGGCCGCGGUAUCCUGACCGUGCAAAGGUAGCAUAAUCACUUGUUCCUUAAUUAGGGACUAGUAUGAACGGCUAAACGAGGAUUCAACUGUCUCUUAUUUAUAAUCAGUGAAAUUGACCUUCCAGUGAAGAGGCUGGAAUAACAUAAUAAGACGAGAAGACCCUAUGGAGCUUUAAUUCAUUAGCAUAAUUACUAAAAUAAUACCCUAAUGGUACAAAAACAAUAAUAUAAGCUAAGAAUUUCGGUUGGGGUGACCUCGGAGAAUAAAAAAUCCUCCGAAUGAUUAUAGCAUAGACUAACAAGUCAAAACAACCCAUUAAAUCUCAUUGACCCAAAAUAUUUUGAUCAACGGACCAAGUUACCCUAGGGAUAACAGCGCAAUCCUAUUCAAGAGUUCAUAUCGACAAUAAGGGUUUA